CCUACGGGCGGCAGCAGUGAGGAAUAUUGGUCAAUGGGCGGGAGCCUGAACCAGCCAAGUCGCGUGAGGGAAGACGGUCCUAUGGAUUGUAAACCUCUUUAGGCGGGGAGCAAUGCCGGGCACGCGUGCCCGGAGGGAGAGUACCCGCAGAAUAAGCAUCGGCUAACUCCGUGCCAGCCGCCGCGGUAAUACGGAGAAUGCGAGCGUUAUCCGGAUUUAUUGGGUUUAAAGGGUGCGUAGGCGGAUUUUUAAGUCAGCGGUAAAAUGUCCGGGCUCAACCCGGGCCGGCCGUUGAAACUGGGGAUCUUGAGUGGGCGAGAAGUAUGCGGAAUGCGUGGUGUAGCGGUGAAAUGCAUAGAUAUCACGCAGAACUCCGAUUGCGAAGGCAGCAUACCGGCGCCCGACUGACGCUGAGGCACGAAAGCGUGGGGAUCGAACAGGAUUAGAUACCCCAGUAGUC
rnacentral:rRNA from 1 species